GACGUGAGGAGGGCGCGCGCUUGGACAACGUUGGAAACGGUCAUGAGGAAGAAGGGGUCCACAGCCUGACAUCCUCCCCACCUGCCCAGGAUGGGGGCUGACAGCUGCAGGCCCACAGCAGAGGAGCUCCAGUUCCCACAAAUUUAAGCUGAAGAAAUUCCUGAAAAGGGGAAGAAAAGCCCGUCACCCUAGGCCGCCGCCUGGGCUGAAAGAACUACCUCUCUGUUCCUGAGAAAGGCUCUUCUGGCGCAGAUCCUGCCCCGCUUAGACUCCAAGUG